rnacentral:lncRNA from 1 species
CAGUAAUAAUUUUAAUUUUAUCCAUAUAGUUAGUAAUUCAUCAUAGAGAAAAUGAUUCAAGAAAAACACAUCUACAAUGAAAAAGGAUGUUAACAUGGAUGGCACAAGGGAAGCCUUACUGAGUGGAAACAAGUGCAACAUGAUCGUGGGUCCCGUAAGAUUUUAUUGGUAAAGAUCUUCACUAAUGCUUCUUCUUUAAACCUUAUGACCUGAGAUUUAG